GUGUCAGCAGCCGCGGUAAGACGAACCGUCCGAACGUUAUUCGGUAUCACUGGGCUUACAGAGUUCGUAGGCGGCCAGGUAGGUCAGGUGUGAAAUCCCACAGCUCAACUGUGGAAUUGCGCUUGAAACCGCCUGGCUAGAGGGAGACAGAGGUGAGCGGAACUGAUGGUGGAGCGGUGAAAUGCGUUGAUAUCAUCAGGAACACCGGUGGCGAAGGCGGCUCACUGGGUCUCUUCUGACGCUGAGGAACGAAAGCUAGGGGAGCGAACGGGAUUAGAUACCCCGGUAGUCCUAGCCGUAAACGAUGAGCACUAGUCCGUGGGGACUCUCACAUCCUCUCGGACGUAGCGAAAGUGUCAAGUGCUCCGCCUGGGGAGUAUGGUCGCAAGGCUGAAACUUAAAUGAAUUGACGGGG
rnacentral:rRNA from 1 species